CUCAGAACGAACGCUGGCGGCAUGCCUAACACAUGCAAGUCGAACGAGACCUUCGGGUCUAGUGGCGCACGGGUGCGUAACGCGUGGGAACCUGCCUUUAGGUUCGGAAUAACUCAGAGAAAUUUGAGCUAAUACCGGAUAAUGUCUUCGGACCAAAGAUUUAUCGCCUUUAGAUGGGCCCGCGUAAGAUUAGCUAGUUGGUGGGGUAAAGGCCUACCAAGGCGACGAUCUUUAGCUGGUCUGAGAGGAUGAUCAGCCACACUGGGACUGAGACACGGCCCAGACUCCUACGGGAGGCAGCAGUGGGAAUAUUGGACAAUGGGCGAAAGCCUGAUCCAGCAAUGCCGCGUGAGUGAUGAAGGCCUUAGGGUUGUAAAGCUCUUUUACCCGAAAUGAUAAUGACAGUAUCGGGAGAAUAAGCUCCGGCUAACUCCGUG
rnacentral:rRNA from 1 species